CCUACGGGGGGCUGCAGUGGGGAAUUGUUCGCAAUGGGCGCAAGCCUGACGACGCAACGCCGCGUGGAGGAUGAAGAUCUUCGGGUCGUAAACUCCUGUCGAGCGGGACGAAAGAUUCGCCGGUUCAUACCCGGCGGAAGUGACGGUACCGCUAAAGGAAGCCCCGGCUAACUCCGUGCCAGCAGCCGCGGUAAUACGGGGGGGGCAAGCGUUGUUCGGAAUUACUGGGCGUAAAGGGCUCGUAGGCGGCCAACUAAGUCACACGUGAAAUCCCU
rnacentral:rRNA from 1 species